rnacentral:ncRNA from 1 species
CUACGGGAAAGUUUUUCACUUGAAGGCUUUUGUUUUGUUUAAUUUUACAUGUAAAUUUUAGUGGGAUGGGAAUUUUCUAGAGGGAAGAUUAGUCCAAUAAGUUGCAGUGAAUCCAUUUGAUUAUUGAGGUAGUUUUGAAUCAGUUAAUACAAUUUAGUACGGACAAAAUUUGUGCCAGCAGCCGCGGUUAGACAAUUUGUGCGACAAAAGCUUUUUGGUUUGGAGUUAGUUUUAUUAGUGAAUUAGAAGGUUGGUUUAUUAGGUGAAAUUCUAAAUUUUAGUGAAUUUUAAUUUGGAUGAUAAGGCUCGGAAAUUUUACCUAAGACUAGGAUUAGAUACCCUAUUAUGAAAGAGUUAAAGUAAGUGCCUAAGGAGUAGUAGCUAAGGUCUUGAAAAUUAUGAGAGAUGGCGGUAUUUUAGUCUAUUCAGAGGAACCUGCUCUAUAAUUGAUGGCCCACGAUUUUAGCUACUUUCUUUUUUAAUUUGUAUAUCGCCGUGGUUGAAUAUUUUUGGUGGAUGGUAAUAUUCAAGAGGUUUAUUGAGAGUAAUUCAGGUCAUGAUACAGUCUAUAGGGAAGAAAGAAGUGGGUUACAGUAAAUUAAUUUUGGUUUGGAGUUAGUUUUAUGAAGACAGAUGAAAUUGGAUUUGAGGGUAAUACUUAGUAAAUUUUAAGUGUGAUUUUAGCUCUAAAAUAUGCACAUAUCGCCCGUCGCUUCCGUACAAGGUGGAAUAAGUCGUAACACAGUAGAUGUACUGGAAGGUGUAUCUAGAAGCGA